rnacentral:rRNA from 1 species
GAUGAACGCUGACAGCAUGCUUAACACAUGCAAGUCAACUGUGGCGGACGGGUGUGUAACGCGUAAAGAACUUGCCUCACAGUUAGGGACAACAUUUGGAAACGAAUGCUAAUACCUGAUACUGUGAGAGAGCUUUGCGUCCCAUUAGCUAGUUGGAGAGGUAACGGCUCACCAAGGCGAUGAUGGGUAGCCGGCCUGAGAGGGUGAUCGGCCACAAGGGGACUGAGACACGGCCCUUAGUCCUACGGGAGGCAGCAGUGGGGAAUAGUGGAAGAUGGACCAAAGUCUGAUCAAGCAAUUCGGUGUGCACGAUGAAGUUUUCGGAAUGUAAAGUGCUUUCAGUUGGGAAGCGGUACCAACAGAAGAAGUGACGGCUAAAUACGUGCCAGCAGCCGCGGUAAUAC